GACGGAGGGUGCAAGCGUUGUUCGGAAUUACUGGGCGUAAAGGGCGCGUAGGCGGUCUGUUAAGUUCGGUGUGAAAGCCCCCGGCUCACCUGGGGAACUGCGCCGGAAACCGACAGACUCGAGUACCGGAGAGGAGGGUGGAAUUCCUGGUGUAGCGGUGAAAUGCGUAGAUAUCAGGAGGAACACCGGUGGCGAAGGCGGUUCUCUGGGCAUUACCUGACGCUGAGGAGCGAAAGUGUGGGGAGCGAACAGG
rnacentral:rRNA from 1 species